rnacentral:rRNA from 1 species
AACGAACGCUGGCGGCAGGCUUAACACAUGCAAGUCGAACGCCCCGCAGGGGGAGUGGCAGACGGGUGAGUAACGCGUGGGAAUCUACCCAGUUCUACGGAAUAACCCAGGGAAACUUGGACUAAUACCGUAUACGCCCUACGGGGGAAAGAUUUAUCGGAAUUGGAUGAGCCCGCGUUGGAUUAGCUAGUUGGUGGGGUAAUGGCCUACCAAGGCGACGAUCCAUAGCUGGUCUGAGAGGAUGAUCAGCCACACUGGGACUGAGACACGGCCCAGACUCCUACGGGAGGCAGCAAUGGGGAAUAUUGGACAAUGGGCGCAAGCCUGAUCCAGCCAUGCCGCGUGAGUGAUGAAGGCCUUAGGGUUGUAAAGCUCUUUCAGUGGGGAAGAUAAUGACGGUACCCACAGAAGAAGCCCCGGCUAACUUCGUGCCAGCAGCCGCGGUAACAC